rnacentral:misc_RNA from 1 species
GGCUUGCGUGAGGGACAGCAGUGGAGCUCUUUUUUUGACUAUCCUGUCCGGGUUUUGAACCCGGACAGGAUAGUCAAAAAAAAGCGGGAACGGAUUGCCCGACCCCGC